rnacentral:rRNA from 1 species
GUCUAUGGCCAUACUACCCUGAACGUGCCCGAACUCGUCUGAUCUCAGAAGCUAAGCAGGGUCGGGCCUGGUUAGUACUUGGAUGGGAGACUUUGAAAACCUGUCCAUUUGAAGUCA